UACGGGGGGGGCAAGCGUUGUUCGGAAUUACUGGGCGUAAAGGGCUCGUAGGUGGCCAACUAAGUCAGACGUGAAAUCCCUCGGCUUAACCGAGGAACUGCGUCCGAUACUGGUGGGCUUGAAUCCGGGAGAGGGAUGUGGAAUUCCAGGUGUAGCGGUGAAAUGCGUAGAUAUCUGGAGGAACACCGGUGGCGAAGGCGGCAUCCUGGACCGGUAUUGACGCUGAGGCGCGAAAGCUAGGGGAGCAAACGGGG
rnacentral:rRNA from 1 species